rnacentral:rRNA from 1 species
UACGUAGGAGGCUAACGUUAUUCGGAUUUACUGGGCGUAAAGCGCGUGUAGGUGGUUCUGUAAGUAGGGCGUGAAAGCUCCCGGCUCAACUGGGAGAGGCCGUUCUAAACUGCAGAGCUAGAGGAUGGUAGAGGGAGGUGGAAUUCCAGGUGUAGUGGUGAAAUGCGCAGAUAUCCGGAGGAACACCAGUGGCGAAGGCGACCUCCUGGACCAUUCCUGACGCUCAGACGCGAAAGCUAGGGUAGCGAACGGGAUUAGAUACCCCGGUAGUCCCUGA